AUAGAGUUUAAUAUAUGUAGUAAUUAAUUAAGUUAAAAUUUAAUUUUUGGUUAUUAUGAAAUUUAUUUAAUUGGGGUGAUUAAGAAAUAUAGAAAACUUUUUUAAAAUUUAAAUGAUAUAUUUAGCUAUAUGAUCCAUAAUUAAUGAUUAUAAGAUUAAAUUACCUUAGGGAUAACAGCAUAAUUCUUUUUGAGAGUUCAUAUCUAAAAGAGAGAUUGUGACCUCGAUGUUGGAUUAAGAUUAGUUUUAGGUGCAGAUGUUUAAUAACUAGGUCUGUUCGACCUUAAAAAUCUUACA
rnacentral:rRNA from 1 species